CGCGAAAACUUUACAAUGCUGGCAACAGCGAUAAGGGGACCUCGAGUGCCAGGAUACAAUCUUGGCUGUCGCGAUGCCUAAAAAGCAUUGCAUAGCAAGGGCCGGGCAAGACCGGUGCCAGCCGCCGCGGUAACACCGGCGGCUCGAGUGGUAACCGCUAUUAUUGGGUCUAAAGGGUCUGUAGCCGGCCGGAUAAGUCUUUUGGGAAAUCCAGCUGCUCAACAGUUGGGCUUUCAGAAGAUACUGUUCGGCUCGAGACCGGGAGAGGUGAGAGGUACUUCAGGGGUAGGGGUGAAAUCUUGUAAUCCUUGAAGGACCACCAGUGGCGAAGGCUUCUCACCAGAACGGAUCUGACGGCAAGGGACGAAAGCUAGGGGCACGAACCGGAUUAGAUACCCGGGUAGUCCUAGCCGUAAACGAUACUCGCUAGGUGUCAGCCACGGUGCGACCGUGGUUGGUGCCGUAGGGAAGCCGUGAAGCGAGCCACCUGGGAAGUACGGCCGCAAGGCUGAAACUUAAAGGAAUUGGCGGGGGAGCAC
rnacentral:rRNA from 1 species